rnacentral:rRNA from 1 species
GUGGAUUAGAUACCCUGGUAGUCCACGCCCUAAACGAUGUCAACUAGGUGUUGGGAGGGUUAAACCUUUUAGUGCCGUAGCUAACGCGUGAAGUUGACCGCCUGGGGAGUACGGCCGCAAGGCUAAAACUCAAAGGAAUUGACGGGGACCCGCACAAGCGGUGGAUGAUGUGGAUUAAUUCGAUGCAACGCGAAAAACCUUACCUACCCUUGACAUGUCAGGAAUCCCGAAGAGAUUUGGGAGUGCUCGAAAGAGAGCCUGAACACAGGUGCUGCACGGCUGUCGACAGCU